rnacentral:rRNA from 1 species
GAUGAACGCUGGCGGCGUGCCUAAUACAUGAAAGUCGAGCGAACGGACGAGAAGCUUGCUUCUCUGAUGUUAGCGGCGGACGGGUGAGUAACACGUGGAUAACCUACCUAUAAGACUGGGAUAACUUCGGGAAACCGGAGCUAAUACCGGAUAAUAUUUUGAACCGCAUGGUUCAAAAGUGAAAGACGGUCUUGCUGUCACUUAUAGCUGGAUCCGCGCUGCAUUAGCUAGUUGGUAAGGUAACGGCUUACCAAGGCAACGAUGCAUAGCCGACCUGAGAGGGUGAUCGGCCACACUGGAACUGAGACACGUUCCAGAUUCCUACGGGAGCCAGCAGUAGCGUAUCGUCCGCAAUGGGCGAAAGCCUGACGGAGCAACGCCGCGUGAGUGAUGAAGUUCUUCUGAUCGUAAAACUCUGUUAUUAGCGAAGAACAUAUGUGUAAGUAACUGUGCACAUCUUGACGGUACCUAAUCAGAAAGCCACGGCUAACUACGUG